AAAUUGUUCCCAUUUUUAACGUAAUAAUGCCAGGAAAAAAUCAAUAACACUUAACAUUUAUGGAUUACAACAAGAUUGGCUUUAAUUGAGCUUUACGAGGCUUAUAAGAAAAUACCACAUUUAGAAGUGGAAUCAAAGAGCUCUUAUUUGUAACCAACCACAUUAGAAGUAAGUUUAGAGCUAAAUACUGACAGUGACUUUAUAUUUUUUAAUAUUCUACCCGCUAAACCAAAUUUCUGGCUCCGCCCUGGACAAAGCCACGAGAAACGGUGGGAGUAAAAAUUUGAUAACGACCACGUUCGGCUCGGAAAUUUUCUAUGAUUACCUUAAAAUUCACUCGGGCACUGAUUUUUUCUACACUAUAAAACAAGCAUUUAAAAUUGUAUCUACAUAAUUCGGACAAGUCUAAUUAAUAAAGAUAGGGUAAACAUAUUGUAGCCCGCAUAUAAUAAAUGAAAAUUUCAAUAUAAAGCAUUAGCAUCAUUUAUAUUAAGAAUAUUCAGGCUCUCGGAGCAUUGAAAUAAUUAACGAUUUCAUACAUGAAUCACUCCAAACCUAUCCAUCACCGAAACUUAAGCAGAUUAGAAAAAUUUUAAGCUGAUUACAAGCUCUCAACACUCAAGUGAAUGAAGAAGAAUCAUAAAUCAAUGACCCACCAUAAACCGUCAUAAAAAAUAAAAAAAUAAUAAUAAUAAUUUUUCAACAAAUCACAUUGUUUAUUGCACAAAGAAAAACCCUAGAGCGAAUGAUCUACGUUUAUUGCACAAACAAAAACAGUAAACAGGAGAUAGAUGGUUACUGUAUUAAGAUAGCGGUGAAAAGGUUCAAGCUCCGUUGGGCUUAUGAAACUGAUUCUACGUUUUUACCCUGAUUUCCCCAAAAUUGGAAUUUUAAGGCAAAGCCAGAUGUUUUUCUUUAAAGGUGCAGACGUAACCCCCGUCAAGAUAGGC
rnacentral:lncRNA from 1 species